GGCCGCAUAGUUCAGCUGAAUAGAACGCCAGAUUCCGGUUCUGGAGGUCGGGGGUUUGAAUCCCUCUGCGGUCA
rnacentral:tRNA from 1 species